UCUCCCGUGAGGGAGCAGUCUCGCCUGACAUAUAAAACAGGCAACGGGGGUUGCGUUCGUUUCCCCACUUAAGGGAACAGCUCAAGCCACGAACUGACGACGACCAUGCAUCACCUGUCUAGCACCUUCGAAAGCUUCUCCAGUUUCCUGGAGCGUGCAGCUAGAUUUCUAACCCUGGUAAGGUUCUUCGCUUACCGACGAAUUAAGCCACAUGAUCCACCGCUUGUGCGAGUUCCCGUCUAUUCCUUUGAGUUUUAACCUUGCGGUCGUACUACCCAGGCGGUUCUCUUAACGCGUUAGCUACGCCACAAAGAGGGUCGAUACUCCUUAUAGCUAGAGAACAUAGUUUAGGGCGUGGACUAC
rnacentral:misc_RNA from 1 species